rfam:Haemonchus contortus, ISE/inbred ISE, WGS project CAVP01000000 data, contig: Hcontortus_33843
GGCCCAAAUUUUAAGUAGAGUAAAUUAGUACGAUCAGUUGACCCUACUAAACUACUCUACUCCAAGUUUGGGCCC